rnacentral:rRNA from 1 species
CCUACGGGAGGCAGCAGUAGGGAAUCUUCCACAAUGGACGAAAGUCUGAUGGAGCAACGCCGCGUGAGUGAAGAAGGGUUUCGGCUCGUAAAGCUCUGUUGGUAGUGAAGAAAGAUAGAGGUAGUAACUGGCCUUUAUUUGACGGUAAUUACUUAGAAAGUCACGGCUAACUACGUGCCAGCAGCCGCGGUAAUACGUAGGUGGCAAGCGUUUUCCGGAUUUAUUGGGCGUAAAGCGAGUGCAGGCGGUUCAAUAAGUCUGAUGUGAAAGCCUUCGGCUCAACCGGAGAAUUGCAUCAGAAACUGUUGAACUGGAGUGCAGAAGAGGAGAGUGGAACACCAUGUGUAGCGGUGGAAUGCGUAGAUAUAUGGAAGAACACCAGUGGCGAAGGCGGCUCUCUGGUCUGCAACUGACGCUGAGGCUCGAAAGCAUGGGUAGCGAACAGGAUUAGAUACCCGAGUAGUC